GUUGCUUCUUUUGAUAAUGGGGUAGCUGAUUUUGACUGUUUGGUUACUCUUAAUGGGAAGCAUAGAUUGACGAGGCCAGUUUUAAACAGCAUAAUGCUUGUGCUUUUAUAUGUUGCAUUGUGUUACCUGUCUGCUGGUACAUUU
rnacentral:snoRNA from 1 species